rnacentral:rRNA from 1 species
CCAAGCUACGAAGAGCCAACGGUGGAUGCCUUGGUGCCUACGACCGAUGAAGGACGUGAGAGGCUGCGAUAAGCCUCGGGGAGCUGCCGACUGAGCUUUGAUCCGGGGAUGUCCGAAUGGGGAAACCUGAUACUUGUAAAGGGGUAUCACUCCGGUGUGAACACAUAGCACCGGUAGAGGGAACCAGGUGAACUGAAACAUCUAAGUAACCUGUAGGAAAGGAAAGCAACCGCGACUCCCUUAGUAGCGGCGAGCGAAGAGGGAAGAGCCUAAACCGUGCCGGUGGAAUAGCCUGGUGGCGUUGCCGGUCCGGUGUUGUGGGGUCUCAGAGGAGGAGCGCCAGAUCCUCCACGAAGUUACAAACGUGCGUGGUAGUGGAAUCGUUCUGGAAAGGCGAGCCGCAGGGGGUAAGAGCCCCGUACACGAAACUACUGCACACUUCGCUGAGUGUCCCCGAGUAGCGCCGUUGCCGUGUAAUUCGGCGUGAAUCUGCGAGGACCACCUCGUAAGGCUAAGUAUAUGUAGGCGACCGAUAGUGAACUAGUACCGUGAGGGAAAGGUGAAAAGUACCCCGGGAGGGGAGUGAAAUAGUACCUGAAACCGUUGGUUUACAAGCAGUCAGAGCGUCGUCUCAACCGAUGAUCUUCGGAUCGUCAAUCAGAGAUCGCGAUGGCGUGCCUUUUGAAGAAUGAGCCAACGAGUUACGGUAUGUGGCGAGAUUAACCUGUGAAGGGAAGUCGGAGCGAAAGCGAGUCAUAACUGGGCGUACAGUCGCAUGCCGUAGACCCGAAGCCGGGUGAUCUAUCCAUGGGCAGUGUGAAGCGGGGGUAAGACUCCGUGGAGGCGCGAACCGACCUAGGUUGAAAACUGGGCGGAUGACCUGUGGAUAGGGGUGAAAGGCCAAUCAAACACGGUGAUAUCUGGUUCUCCCCGAAAUGCAUUUUGGUGCAGCGUCGCACGUUCAGCCAUGGAGGUAGAGCACUGAUUGGGCUAGGGGGCCCACAAGCUUACCGACCCCAGUCAAACUCCGAAUGCCAUGGCUCCAGAGUGCGGCAGUGAGUCCACGGGGGAUGAGCUUCGUUGGACGAGAGGGAAACAGCCCAGAGCGCCGGCUAAGGCCCCUAAGUGUGUAUUAAGUGGCAAACGAUGUGGGAUUGCCCAGACAGCCAGGAGGUUGGCUUAGAAGCAGCCACCCUUGAAAGAGUGCGUAACAGCUCACUGGUCGAGUGAUCCUGCGCGGACAAUGUAACGGGGCUAAAGCUAGAAACCGAAGUUGCGGAUUUCUGCCAUUAGGCAGGAGUGGUAGCGGAGCGUCGGGCUUGGAGCGAAGCGGCAGCGCAAGCUGACGUGGACUGAGUCCGAGUGAGAAUGUUGGUAUGAGUAGCGAGAGAGGGGUGAGAAACCUUUCCGCCGAAAGCCCAAGGGUUCCUGGGGAAGGCUAAUCCUCCCAGGGUGAGUCGGGAGCUAAGGCGAGGCCGACAGGCGUAGUCGAUGCACAACCGGUUGAUAUUCCGGUACCGCUGUGAACGCGUCCAGGCUUAACCGGUGUUGCUAAGGGGAUGCCUGUCCCGGUAAGGGACAGGAGAAACCGACCCACACCGGAGCGGCCAGCAACGCGGGGACGCAGAGAGGUAGGUGAACCCAGGCGACGGUAGUGCCUGGGGUAAGCGUGUAGGGCGGGGCCCAGGUAAGUCCGGUCCCCAUAAAGCCUAAGGCGUGAUACCGAACCGCAUGAGGUGAAGUCACUGAUCCUGUACUGCCAAGAAAAGCCGCUAGCGAGCUUUCACGGCGCCCGUACCCCAAACCAACACAGGUGGGCAGGUAGAGAAUACCAAGGCGAUUGGGAGAACUAUGGUUAAGGAACUCGGCAAAUUACAUCCGUAACUUUGGGAUAAGGAUGACCCUAUUAAGUAAUGGACUUCGCGUCCGGAGCUUGAUUGGGUGGCACAAACCAGGGGAAAGCGACUGUUUACUAAAAACACAGCAGCGUGCGAAGUCGUAAGACGCUGUAUACGCUGUGACGCCUGCCCGGUGCUGGAAGGUUACGGGGAGGGGUUAGCCGUAAGGCGAAGCUCUGAACCUAAGCCCCAGUAAACGGCGGCCGUAACUAUAACGGUCCUAAGGUAGCGAAAUUCCUUGUCGGGUAAGUUCCGACCUGCACGAAUGGCGUAACGACUUUCCCACUGUCUCAACCAUAGACCCAGCGAAAUUGAAGUACGAGUAAAGAUGCUCGUUAGCUACAGAAGGACGGAAAGACCCCGUGGACCUUUACUACAGCUUGAUAUUGGUGUUUGGUAUGUGUUGUGCAGGAUAGGUGGGAGACUGGGAAGCAUGGACGCAAGUCUGUGUGGAGUCAACCUUGAAAUACCACUCUGCUCAUGCUGGGCAUCUAACUUGGGCCCGUAAUCCGGGUUGAGGACAGUGUCAGGUGGGUAGUUUGACUGGGGCGGUCGCCUCCCAAAGAGUAACGGAGGCGCCCAAAGGUUCCCUCAGCCUGGUUGGCAAUCAGGCGUCGAGUGUAAUGGCACAAGGGAGCUUGACUGCGAGACCGACGGGUCGAGCAGAAACGAAAGUUGGGCAUAGUGAUCCGGCGGUUGCGUGUGGAAGCGCCGUCGCUCAACGGAUAAAAGGUACCCCGGGGAUAACAGGCUCAUCUUCCCCAAGAGUCCAUAUCGACGGGAAGGUUUGGCACCUCGAUGUCGGCUCAUCGCAUCCUGGGGCUGAAGCAGGUCCCAAGGGUUGGGCUGUUCGCCCAUUAAAGCGGUACGCGAGCUGGGUUUAGAACGUCGUGAGACAGUUCGGUCCCUAUCCUCUGUAGCCGAAGGUGAUUUGAGGAAAGCUGUCCCUAGUACGAGAGGACCGGGACGGACGCAGCUCUCGUGUGCCAGUUGUUCUGCCAAGGGCAUGGCUGGUUAGCGACCUGCGGAAAGGAUAACCGCUGAAAGCAUCUAAGUGGGAAGCCUGUUCCAAGAUGAGAUCACCCACCGGGAAAACCGGGUAAGGCCCGUGGCAGAACACCACGUUGAUAGGCCGGAAGUGUACGCAUGGCAACAUGUUCAGCUAACCGGUACUAAUCGGCCGAGGGCUUGGUUCUACAU